rnacentral:rRNA from 1 species
AUUGAACGCUGGCGGCAGGCCUAACACAUGCAAGUCGAGCGGAUGAAGGGAGCUUGCUCCUGGAUUCAGCGGCGGACGGGUGAGUAAUGCCUAGGAAUCUGCCUGGUAGUGGGGGAUAACGUCCGGAAACGGGCGCUAAUACCGCAUACGUCCUGAGGGAGAAAGUGGGGGAUCUUCGGACCUCACGCUAUCAGAUGAGCCUAGGUCGGAUUAGCUAGUUGGUGGGGUAAAGGCCUACCAAGGCGACGAUCCGUAACUGGUCUGAGAGGAUGAUCAGUCACACUGGAACUGAGACACGGUCCAGACUCCUACGGGAGGCAGCAGUGGGGAAUAUUGGACAAUGGGCGAAAGCCUGAUCCAGCCAUGCCGCGUGUGUGAAGAAGGUCUUCGAAUUGUAAAGCACUUUAAGUUGGAAGGAAGGGCAGUAAGUUAAUACCUUGCUGUUUUGACGUUACCAACAGAAUAAGCACCGGCUAACUACGUG